GACGAACGCUGGCGGCGUGCUUAACACAUGCAAGUCGAACGGAAAGGCCCUGCUUUUGUGGGGUGCUCGAGUGGCGAACGGGUGAGUAACACGUGAGUAACCUGCCCUUGACUUUGGGAUAACUUCAGGAAACUGGGGCUAAUACCGGAUAGGAGCUCCUGCUGCAUGGGGGGGUUUGGAAAGUUUCGGCGGUUGGGGAUGGUCUCGCGGCUUAUCAGCUUGUUGGUGGGGUAGGGGCUUACCAAGGCUUUGACGGGUAGCCGGCCUGGGAGGGUGACCGGCCACAUUGGGACUGCGAUACGGCCCAGACUCCUACGGGCGGCAGCAGUGGGGAAUAUUGCACAAUGGGCCGAAGCCUGAUGCAGCAACGCCGCGUGCGGGAUGACGGCCUUCGGGUUGUAAACCGCUUUCGCCUGUGACGAAGCGUGAGUGACGGUAAUGGGUAAAGAAGCACCGGCUAACUACGUG
rnacentral:rRNA from 1 species